CAGGAGGAAAAUCAGAUGUUAGCUUGGGGCUCCUGAUCACAGACAUAAUUUUGUUUGUUAUUUGCGUGCCGCUCUGUUGGUUUGUGGUUGUAACUACCAAGGAUAAAGAUAAG